rnacentral:rRNA from 1 species
ACGGAGGAUCCAAGCGUUAUCCGGAAUCAUUGGGUUUAAAGGGUCCGUAGGCGGGCAAUUAAGUCAGAGGUGAAAGUUUGCGGCUCAACCGUAAAAUUGCCUUUGAAACUGGUUGUCUUGAAUUAUUGUGAAGUGGUUAGAAUAUGUAGUGUAGCGGUGAAAUGCAUAGAUAUUACAUAGAAUACCAAUUGCGAAGGCAGAUCACUAACAAUAUAUUGACGCUGAUGGACGAAAGCGUGGGGAGCGAACAGG